rnacentral:rRNA from 1 species
UACGCAGGCAGCGAGCGUUGUUCGGAGUUACUGGGCGUAAAGGGUGUGUAGGCGGUUGUUUAAGUUUGGUGUGAAAUCUCCCGGCUCAACUGGGAGGGUGCGCCGAAUACUGAAUGACUUCGAGUGCGGGAGAGGAAAGUGGAAUUCCUGGUGUAGCGGUGAAAUGCGUAGAUAUCAGGAGGAACACCGGUGGUGUAGACGGCUUUCUGGACCGUAACUGACGCUGAGACACGAAAGCGUGGGCAGCAAACAGG